UGUAGUCUGCAACCCGACUACAUGAAGCUGGAAUCGCUAGUAAUCGCGGAUCAGAAUGCCGCGGUGAAUACGUUCCCGGGUCUUGUACACACCGCCCGUCACACCAUGGGAGUCGGAAAUGCCCGAAGUCUGUGACCUAACCGUAAGGGAGGAGCAGCCGAAGGCAGGUCGGAUGACUGGGGUGAAGUCGUAACAAGGUAUC
rnacentral:rRNA from 1 species